UAACGCGAAGAACCUUACCAGGGCUUGACAUGUAGGGAAAAGCCGUGGAGACACGGUGUCCGCAAGGGCCCUACACAGGUGUUGCAUGGCUGUCGUCAGCUCGUGUCGUGAGAUGUUGGGUUAAGUCCCGCAACGAGCGCAACCCUUGUCCUAUGUUGCCAGCGGUUCAAGCCGGGGACUCAUAGGAGACUGCCGGGGUCAACUCGGAGGGAGGUGGGGACGACGUCAAGUCAUCAUGGCCCUUAUGUCCUGGGCUGCAAACAUGCUACAAUGGCCGGUACAGAGGGCUGCAAACCCGCGAGGGGGAGCCAAUCCCAAAAAGCCGGUCUCAGUUCGGAUCGGGGUCUGCAACUCGACCCCGUGAAGUCGGAGUCGCUAGUAAUCGCGGAUCAGCAACGCCGCGGUGAAUACGUUCCCGGGUCUUGUACACACCGA
rnacentral:rRNA from 1 species